UGAAACUAGAUACAAGCGAGCGGCGGACGGGUGAGUAACACGUGGGUAACCUGCCCAAGAGACUGGGAUAACACCUGGAAACAGAUGCUAAUACCGGAUAACAACACUAGACGCAUGUCUAGAGUUUGAAAGAUGGUUCUGCUAUCACUCUUGGAUGGACCUGCGGUGCAUUAGCUAGUUGGUAAGGUAACGGCUUACCAAGGCAAUGAUGCAUAGCCGAGUUGAGAGACUGAUCGGCCACAUUGGGACUGAGACACGGCCCAAACUCCUACGGGAGGCAGCAGUAGGGAAUCUUCCACAAUGGACGAAAGUCUGAUGGAGCAACGCCGCGUGAGUGAAGAAGGGUUUCGGCUCGUAAAGCUCUGUUGGUAGUGAAGAAAGAUAGAGGUAGUAACUGGCCUUUAUUUGACGGUAAUUACUUAGAAAGUCACGGCUAACUACGUGCCAGCAGCCGCGGUAAUACGUAGGUGGCAAGCGUUGUCCGGAUUUAUUGGGCGUAAAGCGAGUGCAGGCGGUUCAAUAAGUCUGAUGUGAAAGCCUUCGGCUCAACCGGAGAAUUGCAUCAGAAACUGUUGAACUUGAGUGCAGAAGAGGAGAGUGGAACUCCAUGUGUAGCGGUGGAAUGCGUAGAUAUAUGGAAGAACACCAGGGGCGAAGGCGGCUCUCUGGUCUGCAACUGACGCUGAGGCUCGAAAGCAUGGGUAGCGAACAGGAUUAGAUACCCUGGUAGUCCAUGCCGUAAACGAUGAGUGCUAAGUGUUGGGAGGUUUCCGCCUCUCAGUGCUGCAGCUAACGCAUUAAGCACUCCGCCUGGGGAGUACGACCGCAAGGUUGAAACUCAAAGGAAUUGACGGGGGCCCGCACAAGCGGUGGAGCAUGUGGUUUAAUUCGAAGCAACGCGAAGAACCUUACCAGGUCUUGACAUCCAGUGCAAACCUAAGAGAUUAGGUGUUCCCUUCGGGGACGCUGAGACAGGUGGUGCAUGGCUGUCGUCAGCUCGUGUCGUGAGAUGUUGGGUUAAGUCCCGCAACGAGCGCAACCCUUGUCAUUAGUUGCCAUCAUUAAGUUGGGCACUCUAAUGAGACUGCCGGUGACAAACCGGAGGAAGGUGGGGAUGACGUCAAGUCAUCAUGCCCCUUAUGACCUGGGCUACACACGUGCUACAAUGGACGGUACAACGAGAAGCGAACCUGCGAAGGCAAGCGGAUCUCUU
rnacentral:rRNA from 1 species